UGGAUAUCUGCCUUUUGGUUCGGAAUAACCCCGGGAAACUUUUCCCUAAUACCGGAUGGUACCUUCGGGAUAAAGAUUUAUCGCCAAAAGAUGAGUCCGCGUACGAUUAGCUAGUUGGUGAGGUAAUGGCUCACCAAGGCGACGAUCGUUAGCUGGUCUGAGAGGACGAUCAGCCACACUGGGACUGAGACACGGCCCAGACUCCUACGGGAGGCAGCAGUGGGGAAUAUUGGACAAUGGGGGCAACCCUGAUCCAGCCAUGCCGCGUGAGUGAUGAAGGCCUUCGGGUUGUAAAGCUCUUUUGGCGGGGACGAUGAUGACGGUACCUACAGAAGAAGCACCGGCUAACUCCGUGCCAGCAGCCGCGGUAAUACGGGGGGUGCAAACGUUGUUCGGAAUCACUGGGCGUAAAGAGCGCGUAGGCGGCCUUGUAAGUGGGGUGUGAAAUCCCCCGGCUCAACCGGGGAAGUGCAUCCCCAUACUGCUUGGCUUGAGGGCAGCCAAAGGAAACGGGAAUUCCCGGUGUAGCCGUGAAAUGCGUAAGAUU
rnacentral:rRNA from 1 species